AUUGAACGCUAGCGGCAUGCUUUACACAUGCAAGUCGAACGGAGUGGCGGACGGGUGAGUAAUAUAUUGGAACGUGCCUAGUAGAGGGGUAUAACUACUCGAAAGAUUGGCUACUACCGCUUACUAUUGUAUCGGCCGAUGUGGGAUUAGCUAGUUGGUGGGGUAAAGGCUCACCAAGGCAACGAUCCGUAGCUGGUCUGAGAGGAGGACCGGCCACACUGGGACUGAGACACGGCCCAGACUCCUACGGGAGGCAGCAGUGGGGAAUUUUGGACAAUGGGGGAAACCCUGAUCCAGUCAUGCCGCGUGUAUGAAGAAGGCCUUCGGGUUGUAAAGUACUGUUGGCAGAGAAGCGGUAUCUACAGAGUAAGCACCGGCUAACUACGUGCCAGCAGCCGCGGUAAUAC
rnacentral:rRNA from 1 species